UACAGAGACUGCAAGCGUUGUUCGGAUUCAUUGGGCGUAAAGGGUCCGCAGGCGGUCCGGUAAGUCGGACGUGAAAUCCCGUGGCUUAACCACGGAAAGUCGUUCGAAACUGCCGGGCUCGAGGACUGGAGAGGAGAUUGGAAUGGUCGGUGUAGCGGUGUAAUGCGUAGAGAUCGACCAGAACACCAGUAGCGAAGGCGAAUCUCUGGACAGUUCCUGACGCUCAGGGACGAAAGCUAGGGGAG
rnacentral:rRNA from 1 species